rnacentral:tRNA from 1 species
GGUUAAUGAGCUUGAAUAAGCAUUUGUUUUGAAAACAAAAGAUAGAAAUAAGAAUUUCUAUUAGCUU